CAGAAGAUCAACUAAAUAGCUAGUCAAAUGAAGCAUCAAGAGAUGUAGAGAUUCCAAAAGAAUCAUUCCAUCCAUUUAAAAUACAGAUCUCCUAAAGCAUAACAAUUUGCCUGUAUCACGGCUGCAGCUGAGGCCCUAAUCCAAUACUGAGGCUCCAGAAAACUAAUCAAAAUACAACAAAUUUUGUUUGAUUUGAAGAAAGACAGAAAUGUCUGUAACGGUACCCAUUCCUGUUUAUUAUGCUACAAUUUCUUUGUCUUUUUUCUUUUCUUUGGACAAUUAUGUCAGCUUUGUCUUCUCAUUAUGCCUUUGAAUACACAAAACUACUUAGAUUAUGAAGUGACGCCAAAAAGUGAGUAGCUGGCACGAAUGCAGUCAGACCAAACAGAACUACGAGAAGUUCUUCAAAAAUAAUUUUCAAAGCAUAUCAUUGCAUCUGAGCACUUGUAAUUUAACAAGGUAAAUUGCAUGCUUUUCGCGCGGUGGUAAACUACGGUAAUAAUCUACUUCUGAACAUUUGAUAAUAUAAGUGUUUUCGAAUGGGUACAACCCAACAAUAAAUUGUCAAGAAUAUUUUAUCCAAAGACAAAAUAAAAUAUUUUUUUAAACUUAAAACGAUUUGAUUCUACGUGUUUAUGGAUUUAGUUAUUGAUUCUUCAUUUUACUGUAGUUAUUCAUCACCAAAUCUUUAGAAAAGAUAGGUAAUUGUUUCAUUGUCUAUAUUUGUAUUUUCCAAAAGUGGUACAAACAUUUUAUUCAUCAAUUGCGAGAGUUCUUCUCUUAUUCAAGGCCUCCCUCUACAUACAAAAUCUAAAUAUUAUACAUUUUAUAUAAUUAGUUGUGUGCUUGAUAAGUUAAUUAAAAUUUUAAAAAACAUCUCUUGGAAUUUCAAUGAAAUAAGGCAAGUCACUCAAAUAAUUCGGAUUAAAUGAUGUCUUGGCAAGACCCUUAUUCAAAUCAUUAUGUAUGACACUACUUUGAUACCCAAAAUGCAUAUUUUGUUGUUUAUGUUCCGAUCAAUAUGGUUGAGUAUAAUACUUACCAUCCCGCUACAUUUUCCUUUAUUUUUUGAAUGUCACUAAUCGAUUGAAUGUCUAGAUAAGAUAGAAAGUUGAAUAACUAAACUCCAUGGUAGAGUAGAACCACCAUAACUUUUGAACACUCAAAAGUUUCUUCUUGAACAUCCCAUGAAUCUUUUAGCCACUAAAACUCUAUAAAGAUCAAAGUCAUUUAUUUUAUAAGUUCAAGAAUUUUAAUCUACAUGACAUCACUACAUCAAAUUCUUGAUUAACAUAUCUUUAUUUCAACAUAAACAUAAACAUAAACAACAAAGUUUAAAACAUGUACUCAAAAACAACUAAUAACAUAAGCAUAAAUGAGCGUAAAAAACAUACCAAGAUUUGUAACAAAAGAAUGAAUAGAUACUUUUAGGAUAGAACGAUUAUAUUCACCGUUGUAUAGAUUCAAAAACAAUGAUGUCAGUGAACCACUCAACAGGAGCAAAGUACACAAAUAUUUAAUUGUGCAUAAGCAGAAGAAAAAAUUUAGAAUUUUCGUCGUUUUAAAAUGAAAGAAAAUUCCUCUAUUUAUAGACAACAAAAGGAUAGUGUGAAUAAAUGGUUAUGGUGUCUUAUCGGAAAUGUAAUAAUCCUUUGGAAAAGUCACAACUCUACAUAAAAGUUACAACUUUCAUAAAAGUUACAACUUUCAUAAAAGUUACAACUCUUUGUAAAAGUCGCAAAGUUUCAUAAGUCACAACUUUUGAUGAAAGGGAAGGCUAAUUUUGGAAAUAAAUAAAUUAAAAGGGAAUCCUGAUUUGUGGUGGCGCCACUUAGGCAGCCUAGGGUUCUCUUUAUAUAUAUAGAGAGAGAGAGGUAAAUUAACUAUAUUAUUAAGCUCACAUAUGAUCAUUUAGUAAUAUCCGUAUUUUCCAUACAUACACUACAUUGUCAAUAACAUUUUAUCUCAAGGAAAAGAUUCAUAUGAAAUCUUAAAGUGCUAUAUUUUUUUAAUUUUCGUUUUUGUUGCACAAAAAGUGUUUCAUAUUAAAGUGCUUUUUUAUAAAAAAAAAUAGUUUUUGUUGCAAAAAAAUUAUGAGUAGUAGAGAGAUAAAUCAGUAGAACUGCAAAACAUGAAGAAAUUUAAUCUACUAAUUUGUGUCCACUUUUUUAUUGAUAAGUUCCAAUAAUACUUCAACU
rnacentral:lncRNA from 1 species